rnacentral:sRNA from 1 species
AUUUUAACGACACUUUCUAUCGACAAUUUCAUAUUAUUGUAUGUGGACUGGACUCUAUCAUCGCCAGAAGAUGGAUAAAUGGCAUGCUGAUAUCUCUUCUAAAUUAUGAAGAUGGUGUCUUAGAUCCAAGCUCCAUUGUCCCUUUGAUAGAUGGGGGGACAGAAGGUUUUAAAGGAAAUGCCCGGGUGAUUCUGCCUGGAAUGACUGCUUGUAUCGAAUGCACGCUGGAACUUUAUCCACCACAGGUUAAUUUUCCCAUGUGCACCAUUGCAUCUAUGCCCAGGCUACCAGAACACUGUAUUGAGUAUGUAAGGAUGUUGCAAUGGCCUAAGGAGCAGCCUUUCGGAGAAGGGGUUCCAUUAGAUGGAGAUGAUCCUGAACAUAUACAAUGGAUUUUCCAAAAAUCCCUAGAGAGAGCAUCACAAUAUAAUAUUAGGGGUGUUACAUAUAGACUCACUCAAGGUAAGUCAGCAAAUUGUCAUGAAUUAUGAUGUUGGGAUGACUUAGGGCUGGGAUGCUUUCAGGAGAAUAAUUGAUAAGUGAGUUUAGACAGUACCAUCCACUUGAAGUUCAGUAAAGGUACCAUGUAAUUCAUACUACUUAUUAGCUAGGGGGAAUUUAAUAAAAUUAUUGAAUCUUACUUACUUAGGCUGUAAGUCAUCCAAGUCAAACUGUCCACUUUAUCUUCCACUG